rnacentral:rRNA from 1 species
AUUGAACGCUGGCGGCAGGCCUAACACAUGCAAGUCGAGCGGAUGAAGGGAGCUUGCUCCUGGAUUCAGCGGCGGACGGGUGAGUAAUGCCUAGGAAUCUGCCUGGUAGUGGGGGAUAACGUCCGGAAACGGGCGCUAAUACCGCAUACGUCCUGAGGGAGAAAGUGGGGGAUCUUCGGACCUCACGCUAUCAGAUGAGCCUAGGUCGGAUUAGCUAGUUGGUGGGGUAAAGGCCUACCAAGGCGACGAUCCGUAACUGGUCUGAGAGGAUGAUCAGUCACACUGGAACUGAGACACGGUCCAGACUCCGACGGGAGGGAGCAGUGGGGAAUAUUGGACAAUGGGCGAAUGCCUGAUCCAGCCAUGGCGCGUGUGUGAAGAAGGUCUUCGGAUUGUAAAGCACUUUAAGUUGGGAGGAAGGGCAGUAAGUUAAUACCUGGCUGUUUUGACGUAACCAACAGAAUAAGCACCGGCUAACUUCGUG